GCCUUCAUGGUGUAACGAUAGCACACUCGUCGCAUAUUCGAGAGGUCCAGGUUCGAAUCCCGGCGAAGUCA
rnacentral:tRNA from 1 species